rnacentral:lncRNA from 10 species
UUAAACAUAAGCGUAUUGGAAGAACUCCCAGACAUUCUGCAUAUUUUUAAAACAUUUCAAGCUGAUUUUCCUUGGUAAAAACAAUCUUCCUUCUUCCUGGAAGUGUCUUCAGCAGACGAUGCUUCCUUUGAAGACCACCUUCUACUGCAUGCAAAGACUUAAAGGGGGAAUACUUUAGCCGGCAUUGAGCAGAAGGAUAAAAAGCUCUGAAUAAUCAUUGUUCUCACUUCCAAAGAGGAUAAACAACAUGGAUUUUCCAAGGUGCCGCGUGACUUGGAUUUCUUCCAUUGCUGGAGAUUUCACUCUGACCAUGUGGACAGGAUGGUAUCUUCCAGGCUUCUUCAUGAUUGCAGCUAUCUACUCUUGGACUCUGUGACGAAGAAAAUGAAACAAUAUGAUCUGCCAUUUUUAGGAGCGGUCACAGGAAAAUCUAAUUUUAUCUUCACAAAGACUUGUGCCUACCACCACGUUGACUCAGAUUAUCCACUGGAGGAAGAGUCUUUGCACUAGAAAGAAUGACCGUGUGCAGCUUUGAGAGCUUCCAAAUCUGCUUUUUAUUCUAUAAAUUAAUAUAUUCAGUUGGGAAGGCUAUAGGAAGGCAAAGGACUUUAUGAAAUCAACCAGGCCACUAUCUAAUUUUCAAAUCAUUGUUAGACAUUCCCAACAUUUUAGGGUUUGCAAACGCCCUAAUUUCAGUUGCACGGAUUAUUAAAUCUAUCUCUGUCUCUAUCUCUUCAUCACUCCUAGUUUUAAUUUAGAGGUUUUAAUAUUGCUUCAGAAACUACUGGUGGAAAUGUAAAAGUCAGGUUGUUAAUAGUUUCAUCUAGUAUUUUGGAAGACCUUCAAUGACACCAUUAAAAAUAUAAUGAUUCCUCCUUUUUUCCCCAAGCCAGAGGGAUUUUAAUUUUCUUUUCCUGUUGUUCCUAGAAAGGACAUGUUGUAACAGAGAGCUCUUGUGCCUCCCUGUGGCUGGUCAUUUACAUUAUGUCUAAUUCUGUGCCAUGUUUCGGGAAGUGAAUGAAAAUAUACAAACUAUCAUUUAUUCUUCUGUACCUUUCAUAUGACAAGGAAAAAAAGUGUUUUGGAGUAUUUUAGGUAUGGAGCACAAGAAACUACUGAUUUCUUGAAAAGGCGUGAUGGACAUUAGUAUACUUUUGACUGUAAAUAGAAUGAGUGA